GACGAACGCUGGCGGCGUGGAUUAGGCAUGCAAGUCGAACGGUAUCAUCCUUUCGGGGGUGAGAGAGUGGCGAACUGGUGAGUAACACGUAGGUUAUCUACCCUCAAGACGGGGACAACCCAGGGAAACUUGGGCUAAUACCGGAUGUGAGCAACUUUUAGUUGUUUGAAAGGUGGCGUAAGCUGUCGCUUGGGGAUGAGCCUGCGUCCUAUUAGUUAGUUGGUGAGGUAACGGCUCACCUAGGCAAUGAUAGGUAGGCGGCCUUAACGGGUGGUCGCCCACACUGGGAUUGAGAUACGGCCCAGACUCCUACGGGAGGCAGCAGUCGAGAAUAGUCUACAAUGGUCGGAAGACUGAUAGUGCGACGCCGCGUGAACGAUGAAUCCCUUCGGGGUGUAAAGUUCUUUUAUAUGUGAGCAGUGCUUCUUAUAUUAACAGUAUGGGGAAGAGAUAUUAGCAUAUGAAUAAGCAACGGCUAACUCCGUGCCAGCAGCCGCGGUAAACUCGU
rnacentral:rRNA from 1 species